CCUACGGGGGGCUGCAGUGGGGAAUAUUGCACAAUGGGCGCAAGCCUGAUGCAGCGACGCCGCGUGAGCGAUGAAGGCCUUCGGGUCGUAAAGCUCUGUCCUAAGGGAAGAAUAAUGACGGUACCUUAGGAGGAAGCCCCGGCUAACUACGUGCCAGCAGGCGCGGUAAUACGUAGGGGGCGACCGUUCUCCGGAAUCACUGGGCGGAAAGGGGGCGUAGGCGGCUCUGCAAGUCAGGAGUUGAAUCCCUCUGCUCAACCGAGGUCAGCUCGUGAAACUGUAGGGCUUGUGGGCAGGGGAGGAGUGCGGAAUUCCUUGUGUAGCGGGGAAAUGCGUAGUUAUUAGGAGGAACACCAGUGGCGAAGGCGGCUCUCUGGACUGCAACUGACUCUGAGGCUCGAAAGCGUUGGGAGCGAACAGGAUUAGAGACCCCAGUAGUC
rnacentral:rRNA from 1 species